rnacentral:rRNA from 1 species
CAUGCAAGUCGAGGGGCAGCAUGAACUUAGCUUGCUAAGUUUGAUGGCGACCGGCGCACGGGUGAGUAACACGUAUCCAACCUGCCGAUGACUCGGGGAUAGCCUUUCGAAAGAAAGAUUAAUACCCGAUGGCAUAGUUCUUCCGCAUGGUAGAACUAUUAAAGAAUUUCGGUCAUCGAUGGGGAUGCGUUCCAUUAGGUUGUUGGCGGGGUAACGGCCCACCAAGCCUUCGAUGGAUAGGGGUUCUGAGAGGAAGGUCCCCCACAUUGGAACUGAGACACGGUCCAAACUCCUACGGGAGGCAGCAGUGAGGAAUAUUGGUCAAUGGACGAGAGUCUGAACCAGCCAAGUAGCGUGAAGGAUGACUGCCCUAUGGGUUGUAAACUUCUUUUAUACGGGAAUAAAGUGAGCCACGUGUGGCUUUUUGUAUGUACCGUAUGAAUAAGGAUCGGCUAACUCCGUGCCAGCAGCCGCGGUAAUACGGAGGAUCCGAGCGUUAUCCGGAUUUAUUGGGUUUAAAGGGAGCGUAGGCGGGUUGUUAAGUCAGUUGUGAAAGUUUGCGGCUCAACCGUAAAAUUGCAGUUGAUACUGGCGACCUUGAGUGCAACAGAGGUAGGCGGAAUUCGUGGUGUAGCGG